AGUGAACGCUGGCGGUAGGCCUAACACAUGCAAGUCGAACGGCAGCACAGUAAGAGCUUGCUCUUACGGGUGGCGAGUGGCGGACGGGUGAGGAAUACAUCGGAAUCUACUUUUUCGUGGGGGAUAACGUAGGGAAACUUACGCUAAUACCGCAUACGACCUACGGGUGAAAGCAGGGGAUCUUCGGACCUUGCGCGAUUGAAUGAGCCGAUGUCGGAUUAGCUAGUUGGCGGGGUAAAGGCCCACCAAGGCGACGAUCCGUAGCUGGUCUGAGAGGAUGAUCAGCCACACUGGAACUGAGACACGGUCCAGACUCCUACGGGAGGCAGAAGUGGGGAAUAUUGGACAAAGGGCGCAAGCCUGAUCCAGCCAUACCGCGUGGGUGAAGAAGGCCUUCGGGUUGUAAAGCCCUUUUGUUGGGAAAGAAAAGCAGCAGGUUAAUACCCCGCUGUUCUGACGGUACCCAAAGAAUAAGCACCGGCUAACUUCGUG
rnacentral:rRNA from 1 species